AUGAUGAGCAUGAAAAAAAAAAUGUUUGAAAAAGAGAAUGAGGAUUUCAAAGAAGAGGUUUUUAAACUGCACAAUGAGAUUUCGCGUCUCGAAAAUGCUCUGAAACACUCUGAAAAAAGAAACUAUUUAUUAGAUAAGCAAGUUCAAAGAAUGCGGUCAAAAAUGGACACAGAUGAGCAACUGUUCAAAAGGUUUGGCAAUGCUCAGGAAUCCCACUUAAGUUUGAAGUCUCAUUAUGUUGGAAAGAAAGGGCCAGUCAUCUGUUCCUGUACUGAACGUUUCUUCUUAGUUCAUUUGCAAAGUCGAAAGCGUAUUUUUAAUGCACUGCAAGUAGAAGAAAAAGAAGUUACAAUGACCAAUCUGCCAAUGCAAAGUGAGACUGAAACAGUAAUGACUGAGGAGAAAAAAGAAGUGGAAAAGGAACAUCUUACAAAACAGAAAUAUGUUAAAAAUCAGAACUUACUGACAAGUUUCAGAUAA
rnacentral:lncRNA from 1 species